rnacentral:rRNA from 1 species
CGCAUCUGUGCAUGCAGCAUAUCAAUAAGCGGGGGAAAAGCAUAACAUGUAUACCUACGCUUAGGAUGUUGACGAGACUGUCGAUCUCAUCUAUACAUGACUCUGUGCAUAUCAAUAAGCGGAGGAAAAGAGGGCUAUUACCUACGCUUAGGAUGUUGACGCGCGUGUGUGCGUGAGUCUAUACAUGACUCUGCGCAUAUCAAUAAGCGGAGGAAAAGGGUACCUACGCUUAGGAUGUUGACGCGCGUGUGUGCGUGAUCUAUACAUGACUCUGUGCAUAUCAAUAAGCGGAGGAAAAGAAACUAACAAGGAUUCCCUUAGUAACGGCGAGUGAAGCGGGAAGAGCUCAAAUUUGAAAUCUUCAAGGUUUUACCUUGACGAAUUGUAGUUUAAAGAAGUGUUUUCUGUUGAAGUUUUGGUAAAAGUUCUUUGGAAUAGGACAUCAUAGAGGGUGAGAAUCCCGUAUUUGACCAUUAUUUUCAGCUGUGUGAUACACUUUCAAAGAGUCGGAUUGUUUGGGAAUGCAGUCCAAAAUGGGUGGUAAAUUUCAUCUAAAGCUAAAUAUUGGCGAGAGACCGAUAGCGAACAAGUACCGUGAGGGAAAGAUGAAAAGAACUUUGAAAAGAGAGUUAAACAGUACGUGAAAUUGUCAAAAGGGAAGCGUUUGACACCAGUGUUGUUUUCUCGAAAAUCAAUUAAAAAGAGUUAGAUUUUGUUGUGUAUUGACCUUAACAGCUUGCAUUCAAUCUUUUCAUUGCUUUUUUUAAUGCACUUUUCGUUUAACAAGUCAACAUCAGUUUCUUUUGUUGUAAAAAGGUCAUUGGAAGGUGGCUUUCUCUUCGGAGAAAGUGUUUAUAGCCUUUGAUCUCCUGCAAUCGGAGAGACUGAGGUCUGCAGCGUAGAUCCUUCGGGGUUAGAUACAUUUGUGCUAAGCUACAGCUUUUCAUAGACAACUUGUUGACUAUGUUUAGUCUUGUGACUUACCCGCUUAUGCUAUUUUACCUACGCUUAGGAUGUUGACGCGCGUGUGUGCGUG